GUGGACUUGGUCUUUUCCACGUGGUGGCUGUGGAUCUCCCAUUUUUAGGUAAAAAUGCUGUUUGGGGGAUUUUUUUUUUUUUUGAUUCCUUAAAAUUACAUUUUGAGUACAGGACACAGAAGGAGUGAUCCCAUCUAGGUUUGGUCUGUUGGAGCCUCUUGCAGGAGCUCAGUCCAAAACAGUGGCCUUCAACUCAACAAUUCCUGGGAACUCAACACAUUGCCUUACUUUUGCCAUUAUGCAGCUGACUGAUGGCGAAGGUUACUCCUUCAAGCGCAACACUUUAAAUUAGCUUUUAAAGACUCUUGUCCUGAGUCACGCACUUCCAGUUCAAGUAGAGGGUCUCCUGAAGAAAUCACGCACAACGAGGUAACAUAUUCAUAUUCACCUCAGGCUUGCUGUACUGCAGGAAAUGAGAUGA
rnacentral:lncRNA from 1 species